CUCACACACACACACGGCCUGUUACCACCUGAGGAUGAGGGCACAGCUCAACAGCCUGCAUUUUUGGAAACAAACUCCUCGGGCAGAGCCAUAUUUCGGAACUGCUGGAUUUAUGUGGACACAAUUUAAAACCUUAAAAGUUUGCUCAGAUGUUUAAGAAAGACAUCCCAAUAGAUAAACAGAGAAAGAUGUGAAAAAAUGAUUCAAUUCAUAGCCACCAAAGCCCAUUAGCCCCCUCUGGAACUCUGCAGGCGAUCGCUCUGAUCAAGUUUCCCCAUGCUUCCUCCUAUAUGGACCCACACGUGCCCAGAGAAAAGGUUUGAGAGCAAAGGAACUUUCAGUAGCCUCCUCCCUUCCACCCCUCGGUCUGCCUCCAGAACCCUGCAGGGCUCCUGGGCCACCCCAGCAGAGGUGAUGGUGACCACAGGGGUCCUCAUAGCAUCAGUCACAGCAAAUUCCUGCUCUGAGUCAGGAGAGCACCAGAAGCCUAGGGACGUUCUCACUGAACCCCUGGGAGGAAGCAGUCUUUCCCUUACAUGAGCAAACUCAGGCUCUGAAAGGUUUAAGUCACACCAGUAGCAAAAUCAAAAGGAAAUCUGGGGCUCUCAAAAUCAUCCUGAGCAUCUCCGCCAUUCAUUAAAAACGACAUUUUCUAGUUUUUGUGAAAUCCAACCUAAGUGCAGCCUCAAGACCCAACCCACAGCAAGCCCCUGAAGACCGUCCAAGUCAGCAAGUAAAUAAAACCAAAACACACGUCAUUUUCUCAGAGCCCCAAGACUGGGCCCCUCACUUAACUUCACAAGGAAUCCAUAAAAUCGUGCAGUUAUUCCCGUUUUACAAACAAGCGAACUGAAAUCAGAAACGUCAGGAGAUUUGCCUGAGGGCCAGUGGAUGGGUUUUUGUAGAGUCCCGGCGGUGUUUUCUUUUGCUGGUUUUCCGAAAUGAAAGGUGCAGCUUGAGGCCAGGUGAACACACUUCCAGAUCUCAAGUCUCUCCUGCUCCACCACGAGGACGCCAACUGUCCCCACAGUCUGGGCCCCGAAUCCAGGGCGGCAUCUCGUGGCAGCAGCAGCGAGAACCCGCGGGCCCGCGGGGCUGGACAGGAGCUGGGUGGGCGGUGCCGCGCCUGCGUGGACCACGUGGUCGGGCCGACUGCACUAAACGCCUGGGAAGAUGCGAUCCCUCCGCGGCCCAGCUGUGCGUCGAGUCGUGAAAUGAGGCGAGGCGGAGGGGAAGCAGGAGGAGGGAAGGCUUGGAGCGUAAAGCCAUCGAUUCACACAGCCUGUUUGCCCGCCUCCCCAAGCCUCCAGAGGGUAGAACUCACCUUCUCUUCCUGCACUUGAGGAGAAGAAACAAAACUCCUCCUCCCCACGUGGCAGGAACAGGCCAAGCACAGGGAGGUCACCUGACCAAGUGCCUUCUGGAGCCGGAGACCCCACAGGAGCCUCAGAACCCCCACAGUUGGGCCCGGACUCUCCAAGUGAAUCUGAUGCCCAACCCAGGGUAAGAAACACUGCUCUGAUCCAGCCCGUGUAUCAGACCUCUGGGAACCCAAUACCAGGGGACCAAGUCACCCAGCAGAGAAUGGGAAACUGAGGCCUGGAGACCUGAGGAACGUCCCCAAGUGCACACAGCUGCUAAUAGCACGGUGGCCUCCACUUUGCCGCUCUUCACCUUGAGAACAUAGGCUCUCUGAGGGCAGGGCUCUGGCUUUGCGCCCCAUUUUCCCUCAGGACCCUGCACACCAGGAGGUACCUAACAGGAGGAACGGAGCCCACGUUCUAGAGCCUGCAAGCCACAAGAGAAGCCACAAAAACACGAAGCCCACGCACCACAACAAAGAAUAGUGCAAGGAAGGAUAGUCCCUUCUCGCUUCCGGUAGAGAAACCUGUGUACAGCAACAAAGAAACAGCAGAGCCAUAAAUAAAUAAAUCCAACUCGACACAACAGAUUGAACUGUUAAGCCUCUCUUGAAAUCCAAUAGAACCUGCCGUGCACACCUUGCCUCCCCGGGGCCCAGCAUAGGGUGGCACUCAGAAGGUGCCCAGAAGGUUCCCAUGAACAAGUUCCAGGAGGAGGUCUGUGUGUCCUGCUGUGUGUCCAAGCUGAAGGUCUGCAGAAAGGCCUCUUUCUGGGCCUUUCUGGGGUGUCAGCGGCACCCCAGCCCCCAGCAGGCAUGUGGCCCCUUGGAGAAGGCAGAACAAACUGCAGG
ensembl:lncRNA